rnacentral:rRNA from 1 species
GACGAACGCUGGCGGCGUGCUUAACACAUGCAAGUCGAGCGAUGAAGCUCCUUCGGGAGUGGAUUAGCGGCGGACGGGUGAGUAACACGUGGGUAACCUGCCUCAUAGAGGGGAAUAGCCUUCCGAAAGGAAGUUUAAUACCGCAUAAGAUUGUAGUUCCGCCUGGAACACCAAUUAAAGGAGUAAUCCGCUAUGAGAUGGAUCCGCGUCGCAUUAGCUAGUUGGCGAGGUAAAGGCUCACCAAGGCGACGAUGCGUAGCCGACCUUAGAGGGUGAUCGGCCACAUUGGGACUGAGACACGGACCAGACUCCUACGGGAGGCAGCAGUGGGGAAUAUUGCACAAUGGGGGAAACCCUGAUGCAGCAACGCCGCGUGAGUGAUGACGGUCUUCGGAUUGUAAAACUGUGUCUUCAGGGACGAUAAUGACGGUACCUGAGGAGGAAGCCACGGCUAACUACGUGCCAGCCGCCGCUGUAA